rnacentral:rRNA from 1 species
GACGAACCGUGCGAACGUUGUUCGGAAUCACUGGGCUUAAAGGGCGCGUAGGCGGGCACGCACGUCCGGGGUGAAAGCCCCCCGCUCAACGGGGGAAGGGCCCCGGAGACGGCGUGCCUCGAGGGGGGCGAGGGGCGCGUGGAACUUCCGGUGGAGCGGUGAAAUGCGUAGAGAUCGGAAGGAACACCAGUGGCGAAGGCGGUUGCCUGGAGCUUUGCUGACGCUGAGGCGCGAAAGCGUGGGGAGCAAACAGG